rnacentral:rRNA from 1 species
CCAGAGAAUUUAGCAGAGAUGCUUUAGUGCCUUCGGGAACUCUGAGACAGGUGCUGCAUGGCUGUCGUCAGCUCGUGUUGUGAAAUGUUGGGUUAAGUCCCGCAACGAGCGCAACCCCUAUCCUUUGUUGCCAGCGAUUCGGUCGGGAACUCAAAGGAGACUGCCGGUGAUAAACCGGAGGAAGGUGGGAUGACGUCAAGUCAUCAUGGCCCUUACGAGUAGGGCUACACACGUGCUACAAUGGCGCAUACAAAGAGAAGCGACCUCGCGAGAGCAAGCGGACCUCAUAAAGUGCGUCGUAGUCCGGAUUGGAGUCUGCAACUCGACUCCAUGAAGUCGGAAUCGCUAGUAAUCGUAGAUCAGAAUGCUACGGUGAAUACGUUCCCGGGCCUUGUACACACCGCCCGUCACACCAUGGGAGUGGGUUGCAAAAGAAGUAGAUAGCUUAACCUUCGGGAGGGCGUUUACCACUUUGUGAUUCAUGACUGGGGUGAAGUCGUAACAAGGUAAGCGUAGCGAG